rnacentral:rRNA from 1 species
GACGUAGGGCGCGAGCGUUGUCCGGAAUUAUUGGGCGUAAAGAGCUCGUAGGCGGCUUGUCGCGUCGGAUGUGAAAGCCCGGGGCUUAACUCCGGGUCUGCAUUCGAUACGGGCAGGCUAGAGUUCGGUAGGGGAGAUCGGAAUUCCUGGUGUAGCGGUGAAAUGCGCAGAUAUCAGGAGGAACACCGGUGGCGAAGACGGGUUGCUGGGCCGACACUGACGCUGAUAGCGCGAAAGCCAGGGGAGCAAACGGG